GACGUAGGAGGCGAGCGUUGUCCGGAUUCAUUGGGCGUAAAGAGCGCGCAGGCGGCUUGGUAAGUCGGAUGUGAAAACCCGAGGCUCAACCUCGGGCGUGCAUCCGAAACUGCUCGGCUAGAGGUAGGUAGGGGAGAUCGGAAUUCCUGGUGUAGCGGUGAAAUGCGCAGAUAUCAGGAGGAACACCGGUGGCGAAGGCGGGUUGCUGGGCCGACACUGACGCUGAAGCGCGAAAGCCAGGGGAGCGAACGGG
rnacentral:rRNA from 1 species